GCGGCAGCACGGGUACUUGUACCUGGUGGCGAGCGGCGGACGGGUGAGUAAUGCCUAGGAAUCUGCCUGGUAGUGGGGGAUAACGCUCGGAAACGGACGCUAAUACCGCAUACGUCCUACGGGAGAAAGCAGGGGACCUUCGGGCCUUGCGCUAUCAGAUGAGCCUAGGUCGGAUUAGCUAGUUGGUGAGGUAAUGGCUCACCAAGGCGACGAUCCGUAACUGGUCUGAGAGGAUGAUCAGUCACACUGGAACUGAGACACGGUCCAGACUUCUACGGGAGGCAGCAGUGGGGAAUAUUGGACAAUGGGCGAAAGCCUGAUCCAGCCAUGCCGCGUGUGUGAAGAAGGUCUUCGGAUUGUAAAGCACUUUAAGUUGGGAGGAAGGGCAGUAAAUUAAUACUUUGCUGUUUUGACGUUACCGACAGAAUAAGCACCGGCUAACUCUGUGCCAGCAGCCGCGGUAAUACAGAGGGUGCAAGCGUUAAUCGGAAUUACUGGGCGUAAAGCGCGCGUAGGUGGUUUGUUAAGUUGGAUGUGAAAUCCCCGGGCUCAACCUGGGGAACUGCAUUCAAAACUGACAAGCUAGAGUAUGGUAGAGGGUGGUGGAAUUUCCUGUGUAGCGGUGAAAUGCGUAGAUAUAGGAAGGAACACCAGUGGCGAAGGCGACCACCUGGACUGAUACUGACACUGAGGGUGCGAAAGCGUGGGGAGCAAACAGGAUUAGAUACCCUGGUAGUCCACGCCGUAAACGAUGUCAACUAGCCGUUGGGAGCCUUGAGCUCUUAGUGGCGCAGCUAACGCAUUAAGUUGACCGCCUGGGGAGUACGGCCGCAAGGUUAAAACUCAAAUGAAUUGACGGGGGCCCGCACAAGCGGUGGAGCAUGUGGUUUAAUUCGAAGCAACGCGAAGAACC
rnacentral:rRNA from 1 species